AUUAGAUACCCUAUUAUUUUUAUUGUAAAAUUUGUAUAAGCCGGAGUAUUAAAAGUUAUGGUCUUGAAACUUAAAGAAUUUGGCGGUAUUAUAGUCUAUUUAGAGGAAUCUGUUAUGUAAUUGAUAAUCCACGUUGAACCUUACUUAUAUUUUUUUCUGUAUACCUCUGUUUAAGAAUAUAUUUUUAGAUAAAUUUUCUGAAUAUAAAAAUAUUUAAAAUUUCAAGUCAAGGUGCAAUAAUAUAUGAGUUGAAUAAUGGAUUACAAUAAAUUUUAUUUAAAUGGAUUGUUAUUGAAAUAUAAUUAUGAAGGUGGAUUUAAUUGUAAUUUUAUGAAGAUUAUUAAAAUGACUUAUAGCUCUAUAAUAUGUACACAUCGCCCG
rnacentral:rRNA from 1 species